rnacentral:rRNA from 1 species
CUGAGCUGACGACAGCCGCAGAAACCAGGCCGCUGCAACUGUUUAUUAAAAACAUAGCACUCUGCAAACACGAAAGUGGACGUAUAGGGUGUGAUGCCUGCCCGGUGCUGGAAGGUUAAUUGAUGGGGUUAGCGUAAGCGAAGCUCUUGAUCGAAGCCCCAGUAAACGGCGGCCGUAACUAUAACGGUCCUAAGGUAGCGAAAUUCCUUGUCGGGUAAGUUCCGACCUGCACGAAUGGCAUAAUGAUGGCGGCGCUGUCUCCAGCAGAGGCUCAGUGAAAUCGAAAUCGCUGUGAAGAUGCAGUGUACCCGCGGCUAGACGGAAAGACCCCGUGAACCUUUACUGCAGCUUGACACUGAACUUUGACCUUACUUGUGUAGGAUAGGUGGGAGGCUUUGAAGUUGGAACGCUAGUUCCAAUGGAGCCGUCCUUGAAAUACCACCCUGGUAAUGUUGAGGUUCUAACUCUGUCCCGUUAUCCGGGACGAGGACCGUGUCUGGUGGGUAGUUUGACUGGGGCGGUCUCCUCCUAAAGAGUAACGGAGGAGUACGAAGGUGCGCUCAGCGUGGUCGGAAAUCACGCGUAGAGUAUAAAGGCAAAAGCGCGCUUAACUGCGAGACCCACAAGUCGAGCAGGUACGAAAGUAGGUCUUAGUGAUCCGGUGGUUCUGUAUGGAAGGGCCAUCGCUCAACGGAUAAAAGGUACUCUGGGGAUAACAGGCUGAUACCGCCCAAGAGUUCAUAUCGACGGCGGUGUUUGGCACCUCGAUGUCGGCUCAUCUCAUCCUGGGGCUGAAGCAGGUCCCAAGGGUAUGGCUGUUCGCCAUUUAAAGAGGUACGCGAGCUGGGUUUAGAACGUCGUGAGACAGUUCGGUCCCUAUCUACCGUGGGCGCUGGAAAUUUGAGAGGAUCUGCUCCUAGUACGAGAGGACCAGAGUGGACGAACCUCUGGUGUACCGGUUGUGACGCCAGUCGCAUCGCCGGGUAGCUAUGUUCGGAAGGGAUAACCGCUGAAAGCAUCUAAGCGGGAAGCCUACCUCAAGAUAAGAUUUCCCUAGGAAUUUAUUCCUCUAAAGAGCCGUUCGAGACUAGGACGUUGAUAGGUUGGAUGUGGAAGCAUAGUGAUAUGUGAAGCUGACCAAUACUAAUUGCUCGUGAGGCUUGACUA